AGAAUCAACGCUGGCGGCGCGCUUAACACAUGCAAGUCGAACGAGAAAGCCGCAAGGUGAGUAAAGUGGCGCACUGGUGAGUAACACGUGGAUAUCUACCUUCUGGUGGGGAAUAACCUGGGGAAACCUGGGCUAAUACCGCAUAAGCUUUAGCGAGGAAAGCCGAAAGGCGCCGGAAGAGGAGUCCGCGGUCGAUUAGCUAGUUGGCAGGGUAAAAGCCUACCAAGGCGAAGAUCGAUAGCCGGCCUGAGAGGGGCACGACGGACCGACGACCUAGGCACUGAAACACGGGCCAGACUCCUACGGGAGCAGCAGUGGGAAUCUGCACAAUGGGGGAAACCCUGAUGCAGCGACGCCGCGUGAGUGAUGAAGCCCGUUCGGGUGUAAACGGCUCGUUUCGGCGAGGAACG
rnacentral:rRNA from 1 species